AGAUUGAACGCUGGCGGAAUGCUUUACACAUGCAAGUCGAGCGGCAGCGCGGGGCAACCUGGCGGCGAGCGGCGAACGGGUGAGUAAUGCAUCGGAACAUGUCCAUGUCGUGGGGGAUAGCCCGGCGAAAGCCGGAUUAAUACCGCAUACGCCCGAGAGGGGAAAGUGGGGGACCGCAAGGCCUCACGCGAUUGGGUUGGCCGAUGUCCGAUUAGCUAGUUGGCGGGGUAAUGGCCCACCAAGGCGAUGGUCGGUAGCUGGUCUGAGAGGAUGAUCAGCCACACUGGGACUGAGACACGGCCCAGACUCCUACGGGAGGCAGCAGUGGGGAAUUUUGGACAAUGGGGGCAACCCUGAUCCAGCCAUUCCGCGUGAGUGAAGAAGGCCUUCGGGUGUAAGACUCUUUGUCGGAACGAACGGUAGACGUGAAUAUCGCUGCCUACUGACGUACCGGAAGAAUAAGACACCGCUAACUACGUAGCCAGCAGCCGCGGUAAUCUA
rnacentral:rRNA from 1 species